AGAGACAUCGUUUACAUUAGGUUUUGCAUUGUAGAAAGCAUUGAAAUUUUCAUUAUUAUGAAACAUAUUUGACUUUACAAAAAAAUAGUUAACCCCCAUAGCAACCCUCAAACCAAAUAUAAGGACCAAUGCACACUUAUAAAGGAGUCUACUCAUGCCUAUCAACACUUGAACUAAACACAUUCUUUACAUAUAUUUCAUCUGUGACACAAAAAACAAAACUAAAAUGUAAAGAUGCUUUUUUAUUGAACAUAUUCGAUAUUAAAAUCACAUCAUUAUACUCAAUUAUCAUCUUAUCACAUAAAAUAUGAAGCCUGUUGUAAGGCAGAAGCUGGCGUUGUUAACUUGAUGUGAAGAUCAUGAUUUUGAUAUCCUGUUUUGUACCAUACAUACAGGCUUGUCAGAGUGCAUAAAACCUCAACACCAGUAACUCACGUGGUCAAAAAUAAAUAUUUCUAACAUAGAAUAUAUCUAUUUUAACAUGUAAUGAAGAAUAUGGAUUCAGGAUUUUGAUUAAAUAUGUUUAAGAUUAUACACUGAGCAGAAGAACUCCGGUGUCAUUUGAUUUUGGUAUAAGACAUCAUCCACCUUUUCAUGUAAGAGGAAACAGAUAAACUAGUGUCAGGUGGAAAUUGUAUGUGUGAAUUCAGAUAUGGUUGAGUCAAGUUUGUAAUAUCAGAUGAUCAAUAGUAGAGUUUUAUCAUCAGAGGAUCAUCAGUGAAGUUUGUAAUCAUCAGAGGAUCAACAGCGGAGUUUUAACAUCAGAGGAUCAAUAGCAGAGUUUUAUCAUCAGGGAUCAACAGCGGAGUUUUAUAAUCAGAGGAUCAACAGCUGAGUUUUAUCAUCAGAGGAUCGACAGUGGAGUUUUAUCAUCAGAGGAUCAACAGCGGAGUUUUAUCAUCAGAAGAUCAACAGCAGAGUUUUAUCAUCAGAGGUGGAAACAUCAAAGGUGGAAACAUCAGAGGAUCAACAGUGGAGUUUAUCAACAGAGAAUCAACAGUGGAGUUUUAUCAUCAGAGGAUCAACAGUGGAGUUUUAUCAUCAGAGGAUCAACAGCGGAGUUUUAUCAUCAGAGGAUCAACAGUAGAGUUUUAUCAUCAGAGAAUCAACAGUGCAGUUUUAUCAUCAAAGGAUCAAUAGCGGAGUUUUAUCAUCAGAGGAUCAACAGCGGAGUUUUAUCAUCAAAGGAUCAACAGCAGAGUUUUAUCAUCAGAGGAUCAACAGCGGAGUUUUAUCAUCAGAGGUGGAAACAUCAGAGGAUCAACAGUGGAGUUUAUCAUCAGAGGAUCAACAGUAGAGUUUUAUCAUCAGAGAAUCAACAGUGCAGUUUUAUCAUCAAAGGAUCAAUAGCGGAGUUUUAUCAUCAGAGGAUCAACAGCGGAGUUUUAUCAUCAAAGGAUCAACAGCAGAGUUUUAUCAUCAGAGGAUCAACAGCGGAGUUUUAUCAUCAGAGGUGGAAACAUCAGAGGAUCAACAGUAGUUUUAUCAUCAGAGGAUCAACAGUAGAGUUUUAUCAUCAGAGGAUCAACAGCUGAGUUUUAUCAUCAGAGGAUCAACAGCAGAGUUUUAUCAUCAGAGAAUCAACAGUGCAGUUUUAUCAUCAGAGGAUCAACAGCGGAGUUUUAUCAUCAGAGGUGGAAACAUCAGAGGUUCAACAGUAGAGUUUUAUCAUCAGAGGAUCAACAGCUGAGUUUUAUCAUCAGAGGAUCAACAGUGGAGUUUAUCAUCAGAGAAUCAACAGUGCAGUUUUAUCAUCUGCAUGUAGCUAUCAUAAUAUAACAGGAUUUAUAAACUUAAGAUUUGUCAAAACCUUAACAGAUUGUGUUGAUAAAACAUUUUCAUAUGAGAAAAUAUUUUUUAAUAAAAUACAAUUUAUGGGUAAUCCUAAAAGCAUCCAUUCUUCUUUUAUUAAUAAUGUUCCCUUAAAUUGGAAAUUGAAUUCUAAGCACCUAUUAAACUGCUAUCCACCAUGAUAGGCAUCUGAAUGCUAAUCAGAAAGCAAGCCUAAAAUACUGUAGUCUGAUGUGAAAUUAUAUAUAGGAAGCAUACUAAUUAACACUGUAUGUGUGUAAUAAUGUAAUUGUUAAUUGAUGAACUACAAUUUAAUUACACAUAACCACUAAACAACAUUUCUAAAAUGAAAAGUCCUUAGUAGCAAAAAUAAAAUUGGUAGCUAUUGCUGUUGAACAGUGUUCAUACAGGUAUUAUAGAGGUUUAUAAUCCUUUUGAGUAUUGCUAUUAGUAUUCCGACAGGAACAGUACAUUGGAGGAUUCUGUCAUGUAACGCUUGUGAAUGGAAAAAGUAUACAUACAUUGUAUAGGCCUAUAGAUAUAUGUGUCACAGUUCAACUAAGGCAAUUGUCCGCGCCAGAAUUAUAGCAAUUAUUAGUUCAUGUACAUGUUAUGUAUGGUACAUGUACAUGGUAUGUAUGGUACAUGUACAUUGCAUGUAUGGUAAAUGUACAUGGUAUGUAUGGUACAUGUACAUAUUA